rnacentral:rRNA from 1 species
GUGACCUGCGGAGGAUCAUUAUCGUACAAACAUGUGUGAGGCGUGCGAGGGCUGUCGCUGACUUUUUGAGACACAAAAGUUGUGCACGCCGGAGUGCGUCCUCUCACAUAAAAUCCAUCUCACCCUUUUGUGCACCACCGCGUGGGCGCCCUUUGGGAUCGAAUCGAUCCAGGAGGGGGCUUGCGUUUUCACACAAACCCCUUUUAAAAAGUGUCAGAAUGACCCCACUUUGCGAUACGCAAUCAAUACAACUUUCAACAACGGAUCUCUUGGCUCUCGCAUCGAUGAAGAACGCAGCGAAGUGCGAUACGUAAUGUGAAUUGCACAAUUCAGUGAAUCAUCGAAUCUUUGAACGCACCUUGCGCCCCUUGGUAUUCCGAGGGGCACCACCCGUUUGAGUGUCGUGAAAAUCUUCAACCUUUCUCGGUUUUCUUCUGGACACCGAAGGAAGGCUUGGGACUUUGGAGGCCUUUGCUGGCAUCUUCUCUCUUCUUGAAAACCAGCUCCUCUUAAAACAAAUAACGGGGUCCUCUUUGCCGAUCCUCGACAUGGGAUAAAAUGUUUCCAUGACUUGGUUUCUGGCUCUGUUGCCUUUGGGACCCGCUUCUAACCGUCUCGACCAAACGACGUUUGGGCGCGUCUCCCUUCUCGGGAAACCCUCUCAACCCCACGAACCCUUGACCUCAAAUCGGGUGAAACUACCCGCUGAACUUAAACAUAUCAAUAAGCGGAGGAAAAGAAACUAACAAGGAUUCCCCUAGUAACUGCGAGUGAAGCGGGAAAAGCUCAAAUUUAAAAUCUGGUGGUCUUUGGCCAUCCGAGUUGUAAUUUAGAGAAGCGUCUUCCGCGCCGGACCGUGCACAAGUCUCCUGGAAUGGAGCGUCAUAGAGGGUGAGAAUCCCGUCUUUGGCACGGAUGCCUGUGCUUCUGUGAUGCGCUCUCAAAGAGUCGAGUUGUUUGGGAAUGCAGCUCAAAAUGGGUGGGUGAACUCCAUCUAAAGCUAAAUAUUGGCGAGAGACCGAUAGCGAACAAGUACCGUGAGGGGAAAGAUGAAAAGCACUUUGGAAAGAGAGUGAAACAGUACGUGAAAUUGUUGAAAGGGAAACGCUUGAACGUCAGUCGCGUCGACCGAGACUCAGCCUUGCCUCGGCUUGGUGUACUUCUCGGCCCGCCGGGUCAGCAUCAAUUUUGCCCCUCGGAUAAUGGCAAGGGAAAGGUGGCACCUUUGCGGGUGUGUUAUAGUCUCCUGUCGCAUGCGAGGGGUGGGAUUGAGGACCUCAGCGCGCACCUUGGCGUCGGGGCUUCGGCCCACGUCACGCGCCUAGG